UACGUAGGGGGCGAGCGUUGUCCGAAGUUACUGGGCGUAAAGCGCGCGUAGGCGGGGGAUUAAGUGAGAGGUGAAAGGCUGGGGCUCAACCUCAUGCAGUGCCUCUCAUACUGGUUCUCUUGAGGGCGGUAGGGAGAAGUGGAAUGGCUGGUGUAGCGGUGAAAUGCGUAGAUAUGUGGAGGAACACCAGUGGCGAAGGCGACUCUUUGGUCUGUAACUGACGCUGAGGCGCGAAAGCGUGGGGAGCAAACAGG
rnacentral:rRNA from 1 species